rnacentral:rRNA from 1 species
UCAAGCGAACAAGUGCAUGUGGUGGAUGCCUUGGCGAUCACAGGCGAUGAAGGACGCGGUAGCCUGCGAAAAGCUUCGGGGAGCUGGCAAACAAGCUUUGAUCCGGAGAUGUCCGAAUGGGGAAACCCGGCCCGUAUGGGUCAUCCCACACUGAAUCCAUAGGUGUGGGAAGCGAACGCGGCGAACUGAAACAUCUAAGUAGCUGCAGGAACAGAAAUCAACCGAGAUUCCCAAAGUAGUGGCGAACGAAAUGGGAAGAGCCUUGCACUCUUUAGCAGGACUGUUAGCAAAACGGGAUGGAAAGCCCGGCCAUAGCAGGUGAUAGCCCUGUAUGCGAAAACAGACUUGUGGAACUAGGUGUGCGACAAGUAGGGCGGGACACGUGAAAUCCUGUCUGAAGAUGGGGGGACCAUCCUCCAAGGCUAAAUACUCGUGAUCGACCGAUAGUGAACCAGUACCGUGAGGGAAAGGCGAAAAGAACCCCGGGAGGGGAGUGAAAUAGAUCCUGAAACCGCAUGCAUACAAACAGUCGGAGCCUCGUAAGGGGUGACGGCGUACCUUUUGUAUAAUGGGUCAGCGACUUACAUUCAGUGGCAAGCUUAACCGAUUAGGGAAGGCGUAGCGAAAGCGAGUCCGAACAGGGCGUUGAGUCGCUGGGUGUAGACCCGAAACCAGAUGAUCUAUCCAUGGCCAGGUUGAAGGUGCGGUAACACGUACUGGAGGACCGAACCCACUAACGUUGAAAAGUUAGGGGAUGAGCUGUGGAUAGGGGUGAAAGGCUAAACAAAUCUGGAAAUAGCUGGUUCUCUCCGAAAACUAUUUAGGUAGUGCCUCGUGUCUCACCUUCGGGGGUAGAGCACUGUCAUGGUUGGGGGGUCUAUUGCUGAUUACCCCGCCAUAGCAAACUCCGAAUACCGAAGAGUGCAAUCACGGGAGACAGACAUCGGGUGCUAACGUCCGGUGUCAAGAGGGAAACAACCCAGACCGCCAGCUAAGGUCCCCAAAUAUAGCUAAGUGGGAAACGAAGUGGGAAGGCUAAAACAGUCAGGAGGUUGGCUUAGAAGCAGCCACCCUUUAAAGAAAGCGUAAUAGCUCACUGAUCGAGUCGUCCUGCGCGGAAGAUGUAACGGGGCUAAGCUAUAUACCGAAGCUGCGGACGCACGCAAGUGCGUGGUAGGAGAGCGUUCUGUAAGCCUGUGAAGGUGUCUUGUAAAGGAUGCUGGAGGUAUCAGAAGUGCGAAUGCUGACAUGAGUAGCGAUAAAGGGGGUGAAAGGCCCCCUCGCCGUAAGCCCAAGGUUUCCUACGCAACGUUCAUCGGCGUAGGGUGAGUCGGCCCCUAAGGCGAGGCAGAGAUGCGUAGCUGAUGGGAAGCAGGUUAAUAUUCCUGCACCGUCGUAUGAUGCGAUGGGGGGACGGAUCGCGGAAGGUUGUCCGGGUGUUGGAAGUCCCGGUCCCUGCAUUGGAGAAGGCGCUCAGGCAAAUCCGGGCGCGGAAUUCAAGAGUGUGGGGCGAGCGGCCUAGUGCUGCGAAGCAAUUGGAAGUGGUUCCAAGAAAAGCCUCUAAGCUUCAGUCAUACGAGACCGUACCGCAAACCGACACAGGUGGGCGAGAUGAGUAUUCUAAGGCGCUUGAGAGAACUCGGGAGAAGGAACUCGGCAAAUUGGUACCGUAACUUCGGGAUAAGGUACGCCCUGGUAGCUUGACUGGCCUGCGCCAGAAGGGUGAAGGGGUUGCAAUAAAAUGGUGGCUGCGACUGUUUAAUAAAAACACAGCACUCUGCAAACACGAAAGUGGACGUAUAGGGUGUGACGCCUGCCCGGUGCCGGAAGAUUAAAUGAUGGGGUGCAAGCUCUUGAUUGAAGUCCCGGUAAACGGCGGCCGUAACUAUAACGGUCCUAAGGUAGCGAAAUUCCUUGUCGGGUAAGUUCCGACCUGCACGAAUGGCGUAACGAUGGCCACACUGUCUCCUCCCGAGACUCAGCGAAGUUGAAGUGUUUGUGAUGAUGCAAUCUCCCCGCGGCUAGACGGAAAGACCCCAUGAACCUUUACUGUAGCUUUGCAUUGGACUUUGAACCGAUCUGUGUAGGAUAGGUGGGAGGCUUUGAAGCGUGGACGCUAGUCUACGUGGAGCCGUCCUUGAAAUACCACCCUGGUUUGUUUGAGGUUCUAACCUUGGCCCGUGAAUCCGGGUCGGGGACAGUGCAUGGUAGGCAGUUUGACUGGGGCGGUCUCCUCCCAAAGUGUAACGGAGGAGUUCGAAGGUACGCUUGGUACGGUCGGACAUCGUACCUAAAGUGCAAUGGCAAAAGCGUGCUUAACUGCGAGACCGACAAGUCGAGCAGGUGCGAAAGCAGGACAUAGUGAUCCGGUGGUUCUGAAUGGAAGGGCCAUCGCUCAACGGAUAAAAGGUACUCUGGGGAUAACAGGCUGAUACCGCCCAAGAGUUCAUAUCGACGGCGGUGUUUGGCACCUCGAUGUCGGCUCAUCUCAUCCUGGGGCUGUAGCCGGUCCCAAGGGUAUGGCUGUUCGCCAUUUAAAGAGGUACGUGAGCUGGGUUUAAAACGUCGUGAGACAGUUUGGUCCCUAUCUGCCGUGGGCGUUGGAAUCUUGACGGGGGCUGCUCCUAGUACGAGAGGACCGGAGUGGACGUACCGCUGGUGUACCUGUUGUCUCGCCAGAGGCAUCGCAGGGUAGCUAUGUACGGAAGAGAUAACCGCUGAAAGCAUCUAAGCGGGAAACUCGCCUGAAGAUGAGGAUUCCCUGGCGGCUUGACCGCCUUGAAGGGUCGUUCGAGACCAGGACGUUGAUAGGCUGGGUGUGGAAGCGCAGUAAUGCGUUAAGCUAACCAGUACUAAUUGCCCGUAAGGCUUGAUCCU